rnacentral:lncRNA from 1 species
CCCCUUUCAUAUCUGAGAAGAAAAAUGUGCAAAACCCUACAUGGCACACUGCUCCUACUGGCCAUCUUUGUCCUGUUUCUGAAUUUCAGCCAUGCAACUGCAAAACGUACCAGGAGAGGGAUUUGGUGAAAUUGAAAUGGUUAAAACCAAAUGUAGAAAGAUUGAUUCUGACUUCUACAAAUGUUCUUUCCAGAGGGAAUUCUAUAACCUAAAGCGGACUCCUGGCGAAACAAUGUACUAUAUAUCAUUGCCUGGAAGCGUCAGAUGCAGGAAGCUCCUAUCUAAACUGGACAACUGUCCCUUCGAAGAACAAACAGAACAGCUGAAGACAUUGAUUCUACUUCUGGAACUCUAAUAUGGAAUCACCCUUCAGUAUGGAUGCCAGGAGUCACAGAGACAUGCAGUCCAGUUAUGUACACCUGAACAAUUGUCUUCCUUUUACAUUUCACAUACUUCUUUUAAAUGAACCAUUGUAAGCCUGCCAUAACUAACCUAUGCUUUGCUCAAUAAAAGUACUGCCAUUCAUCUUG